rnacentral:misc_RNA from 1 species
GAAGUCGUUACUCCAACCCUUGUGGAGGAGGACGCCGAAGGUGGGGCUAAUGACUGGGGUGAAGUCGUAACAAGGUAGCCGUACCGGAAGGUGCGGCUGGAUCACCUCCUAACAGGGAGACAACAAAAUGUAAAUAUUAAUUUUGUCACCUUAGGUCGAUCGGUAUCUCAGAUUCUUAUUAUUUAAGAAUUUCAGUUUCUAAGUUUUUUCUAGGUCACACCCAUCACUUUUUCCUGGGCCAUUAGCUCAGGUGGUUAGAGCGCACCCCUGAUAAGGGUGAGGUCCCUGGUUCAAGUCCAGGAUGGCCCAUAUCUCUAUGUUGGGGGUAUAGCUCAGUUGGUAGAGCGCCUGCUUUGCAAGCAGGAUGUCAGCGGUUCGAGUCCGCUUACCUCCACUGAAUACCACCUCUUACACAUAGUUGAAGUGGGAAAUUGUUUUGAGUCGUGUCCUAAUUUGCUCUGAGCGAAUCUAGCUUCCUAUUUUAUCCAAGAAAUAAGAUGCUGGACUCAUUGAAUUUUUUUUCAUUGUUUUCAGAGAACCUUGACAACUGCAUAGAUUAUUUUUAAAGACAAUAAGCAUCUUUAAUGAUGCAGAUUUAUUAUUUGUGCGAAUGCAUUAAAUAACAAUUCUAUUAAGCUGAUGCUUCAAUUAUUGAAGUUAUUGGUCAAGCUACAAAGGGCUCACGGAGGAUACCUAGGCACACAGAGGCGAUGAA